CAUCACCAUGAUGGAGAGACACUCUUCCGUACGAUCUUAAGGACGAUACAAGUAAUUCUCAGCGAGAUGGUUGUCCAAAAGUUAUAAAUCCUGGGAGUUCAGAGACUGAUCUAUAUUAUGAAAAGAAAAAAUAUGGGUUCAAUAGAAGAUAAUGACUGAUACCAAUACAAUACAAUUUUUGACGUGUACAAAAUGUUUUUAAUGUCGCAAAUAAACAACUAUGUUUAUAAAAUUGUAAUAAUUUAUAUUUUUUAUUUUAAAAAUUUAAUUUCAAAUUCGCGAUCAUGCAAUCGUUUUGUUACAAAAUGUGUGUACGGAUUAAUGUUUUUGUAAGUUGUAAAGAAAUUUAAAAUAGAGAAAUAAAUUGUAAUCGUGCAUAGA